rnacentral:tRNA from 1 species
GGGGGAAUAGCGCAGCCUGGUAGCGCGCUGCGUUCGGGUCGCAGAGGUCCCGAGUUCAAAUCUCGGUUCCCCGA